AUGAAGCCAUCGACGGGUCUUAUGAACGAGGCGUCGUCAAGCUCAGAUGAUGAAACAUCUGACGAUGACGAGAGCGAAUCGGGUGAUCAGAAUGAGGACCAAAAGGAUGCAAGACAAGAGCGACCGACGAAAAGUGAGAGCAUCAUCCAUGAAGCCUACACCGUGAUUUGCAGAAAGAGAAGCAACUUUCUCAAACUGAUAAAUAUAGUUACACGCGGGGAGCAGUUUACAAUGAAUCCUAAUAUUCCGGAGGAGCGCCAACGCGACAGAGCGCAUCACAAUGUGCGAUAUCCUCAGCUUUAUUUGCCCACGACGUGGCAGCGGCCGAACCACGCUCCGCCUUUCACCCUUGUGAACUCCGACGAUAUCGCCGGCGCAAACUCUCUCGCCCAUGCUGGUGAAGGAGAUGUUUGUCUCUUGUUUGUCCUAGGCCUUGCAAGGCACACUGCCAAACCAUUGCUAUAUCGGAGAAGAAGAUCGGAAGCACAAAAAGUAAAAGGAAAAAAAAUGAUGGUUCGCUGGAAUAGGCUGCGAGGCCCAAGCGGCCAAGGAGUGCAGCGGCCCGUUAUCCUUCCACCGUUGGAAGCGGGCAGUUGUCGCUGCUCUGUGAAGCCAGCCUCACGCUGUGCCUGCCACAUUAUGGAUCGUGAGGCCCAGCUUUCGCAUAGGCCCCAAGCGGUCCACUACUCAACUUGGAACGGGCGGGCCAGCAGUAGCACACCCAAACCAGGCCCGCAACUCUACAACAGCAUCCACAUCACCUUAAUGCCCCCACUCGGGUUACAAGCUCUCGCAACAACCGACCCAUUUUGCAUCACUGACCUCAUCGCCAAGUUGAGGAUGAAGCCACCGAGGAGUCAUAUGAACCAUGCAUCGUCAAGUUCAGAUGAUGAAGCAUCCGACAACAAGAGCGAGACGGAUGGAAGCUGCGACGCAGUUCUGAGGAGGAGCGCUGAAGCGACGGAGUGGAUCACGAUGUGGGCUAUCCUCAGCUUUAUUUGCCCACGACACGGCAGCAGCCGAACCUCGCUCCGCCUUUCGCCAUUUCAACUUCUUUUAAUAGACAAUCUGAUUGGUUGGGCCCACAUGUUAGGACCUAAGCAGGAAAAAGGUGGCAUGUGCGCAUCUCCGAUGUGGCCUACCAUUUCUCCGAGCGUCCUUGAUGGCGAGGUUCCUAGUGUCGCAAGGCCGCGCCCGCAUGUCACUGUCGUUGGUGGUGGAGUUCCAAAUGAUCUCGACGUCGUAAUCACGCCCGUCCGGACUAUGGCAUGGUCGGGCGGGGCGCGCGAACUAGACAGAGAGGUCAUGGGGAGGACGAGCGCGUCUCUACGGCGGUGGAGCACAAGGGAGAAGCCUUGUCUAUGCACGACGUGGUAUAGUGCAUGUGCUAGCUGCGGCUGUCCAGACAACAACAUGGUUGGGCGGAGUGCGCCGGACGAAGAAGGUGGCACUUUUCUGCUAAUCAUCUGCAUCCAUGAAUCAAGAACAACAGUCUGCAUUAAUCAAGACGGGCUGAAAGGCAUGCAUCAGCAGCAGCAGCAGUCUGCAUCUGGACUUUGUGUAGUCAAGGAAAAAAGCCAGCAAACAGACAGGUGCAUGCCACAGACACGGAGUAUACAAGGACAGCAGUCCGCCGGCUGCAUCCUGCAUAUUUUAGCUUAA
rnacentral:rRNA from 1 species